CGAAGGGGCGUAGCGUUGCUCGGAAUUACUGGGCGUAAAGGGAGCGUAGGCGGAUAGUUCAGUCAGAGGUGAAAGCCCAGGGCUCAACCUUGGAACUGCCUUUGAUACUGGCUAUCUUGAGUUUGGGAGAGGUAUGUGGAACUCCGAGUGUAGAGGUGAAAUUCGUAGAUAUUCGGAAGAACACCAGUGGCGAAGGCGACAUACUGGCCCAAUACUGACGCUGAGGCUCGAAAGCGUGGGGAGCAAACAGGAUU
rnacentral:rRNA from 1 species